rnacentral:misc_RNA from 1 species
GAUGAAGAACGUAGCGAAAUGCGAUAAGUAAUGUGAAUUGCAGAAUUCAGUGAAUCAUCGAAUCUUUGAACGCAUCUUGCGCUCCUUGGUAUUCCUUGGAGCAUGCCUGUUUGAGUAUCAUGAGCAAAUCUCAAAGUCAAUUCCUUUUGUUGAUUCAAUUGGUUUUGCUUUGGACUUGGAGGCCUUGCAGAUUUCACAGUCUGCUCCUCUUAAAUGCAUUAGCUGGAUCUCAGUAAUUAUGCUUGGUUCCACUCGGCGUGAUAAGUAUCACUCGCUGAGGACACUGUUAAAAAGGUGGCCAGGAAAAUACUGAUUGAAUCGCUUCUAACGGUCUAUUAAGUUAGACAAUUACCCUUAAGUAUGAUCUCAAAUCAGGUAGGACUACCCGCUGAACUUAAGCAUAUCAAUAAGCGGAGGA